GAUGAACGCUGGCGGCGUGCCUAAUACAUGCAAGUCGAGCGAACAGACGAGGAGCUUGCUCCUCUGACGUUAGCGGCGGACGGGUGAGUAACACGUGGAUAACCUACCUAUAAGACUGGGAUAACUUCGGGAAACCGGAGCUAAUACCGGAUAAUAUAUUGAACCGCAUGGUUCAAUAGUGAAAGACGGUUUUGCUGUCACUUAUAGAUGGAUCCGCGCCGCAUUAGCUAGUUGGUAAGGUAACGGCUUACCAAGGCAACGAUGCGUAGCCGACCUGAGAGGGUGAUCGGCCACACUGGAACUGAGACACGGUCCAGACUCCUACGGGAGGCAGCAGUAGGGAAUCUUCCGCAAUGGGCGAAAGCAUGACGGAGCAACGCCGAGUGAGUGAUGAAGGUCUUCGGAUCGUAAAACUCUGUUAUUAGGGAAGAACAAAUGUGUAAGUAACUAUGCACGUAUUGACGGUACCUAAUCAGAAAGUCACGGCUAACUACGUG
rnacentral:rRNA from 1 species